AACGAACGCUGGCGGCAGGCCUAACGCAUGCAAGUCGAGCGCCCUUUCGGGGGAGCGGCGGACGGGUGAGUAACGCGUGGGAAUAUGCCCUUCUCUACGGAAUAGCCUCGGGAAACUGAGAGUAAUACCGUAUACGCCCUUUGGGGGAAAGAUUUAUCGGGGAAGGAUUAGCCCGCGUUGGAUUAGGUAGUUGGUGGGGUAAUGGCCUACCAAGCCGACGAUCCAUAGCUGGUUUGAGAGGAUGAUCAGCCACACUGGGACUGAGACACGGCCCAGACUCCUACGGGAGGCAGCAGUGGGGAAUCUUAGACAAUGGGGGCAACCCUGAUCUAGCCAUGCCGCGUGAGUGAUGAAGGCCUUAGGGUUGUAAAGCUCUUUCAGCUGGGAAGAUAAUGACGGUACCAGCAGAAGAAGCCCCGGCUAACUCCGUG
rnacentral:rRNA from 1 species